UGAGGAACAUGACCUUCGGCGGGGGAUAGCCGGCCCAACGGCCGGGUAAUACCGCGUACGACCACAUGGGGACAUCCCUGAGUGGUGAAAGCAGCAAUGCGCCGAUGGAGUGCCUCGCGGCCUAUCAGCUAGUUGGUGAGGUAACGGCUCACCAAGGCGACGACGGGUAGCUGGUCUGAGAGGAUGGCCAGCCACAUUGGGACUGAGACACGGUCCAGACCUCUACGGGAGG
rnacentral:rRNA from 1 species